GAUGAACGCUGGCGGCGUGCUUAACACAUGCAAGUCGAACGGAAAGGCCCUGCUGGCAGUGUACUCGAGUGGCGAACGGGUGAGUAACACGUGGGUGAUCUGCCCUGUACUUUGGGAUAAGCCUGGGACACUGGGUCUAAUACCGAAUAUGACAAUUGUUUGGAUGCGAUUGUGCAAAGCUUUUGCGGUAUGGGAUGAGCUCGCGGCCUAUCAGCUUGUUGGUGGGGUAAUGGCCUACCAAGGCGUCGACGGGUAGCCGGCAUGAGAGGGUGUACGGCCACAGUGGGAAUGGGAUACGGCCCAGACUCCUACGGGAGGCAGCAGGGGGGAAUAGGGCAUAAUGGGCGCAAGCCUGAUGCAGCGACGCCGCGUGGGGGAUGACGGCCUUCGGGUUGUAAUCUCCUUUCGCAACCGACGAAGCCUUUUGGUGACGGUAGGUGGAGAAGAAGCACCGGCUAACUACGUG
rnacentral:rRNA from 1 species